rnacentral:rRNA from 1 species
UACGAAGGGGGCUAGCGUUACUCGGAUUGACUGGGCGUAAAGGGCGCGUAGGCGGCUUGUACAGUCAGACGUGAAAUUCCUGGGCUCAACCUGGGGGCUGCGUUUGAUACGUGCGGGCUUGAGUUCGGAAGAGGGUCGUGGAAUUCCCAGUGUAGAGGUGAAAUUCGUAGAUAUUCGCAAGAACACCAGUGGCGAAGGCGGCUCACUGGCCCGGUACUGACGCUGAGGUGCGAAAGCGUGGGGAGCAAACAGG